rnacentral:rRNA from 1 species
UGUCUACUAAUUAUAGACCUGUAUGAAAGGCAAAAUGAGGGUCCAACUGUCUCUUAUAAUAAAUCAAUUAAACUGAUCUCCUAGUAAAAAAGCUAGGAUCCUAACACAAGACCAGAAGACCCUGUGAAGCUUAAACUAAACUAUUAAACCCUAUAAUAACUAAUUUCGGUUGGGGCGACCUUGGAAAAAAAAAGAACUUCCAACAUGUGACUUUCCAAAUACUAAAUUCUUAGGCCAACAAGCCACCUAACGACCCAGCUAAUGCUGAUAAACGAAACAGUUACUCCAGGGAUAACAGCGCAAUCUUCUUUAAGAGCCCAUAUCAAAAAGAAGGUUUACGACCUCGAUGUUGGAUCAGGACAUCCUAAUGGUGCA